rnacentral:rRNA from 1 species
AUGGCUUCAGCUUGUUAUCCCCAUGACCCCUUGGCUCCUGUUUACUAUGGUGAAAUCUUGGUGGGAUGCAGUCCUAUCUACCAACAAGCAGCCGGCGACGAUGUGUCUUCAUUAUUACUUCUUGUGGGAUGGGAAAUUUGGAAUGAAAGAAAUGCUCAAGUUUUCAGGAGCAAAGCAGCGCUGGUGGCGGUUGUCAUGCCAGGCAUCAAAUAUGAAGUGUCUAUUUGGGCCAUUGUAGGCUCCAAGCAUUUGAGAAAUAUAAUGUUGCACGACAAAAAAAUACACUUAUGUGAUGAUACGUGUUUCUCACGGUAG